rnacentral:rRNA from 1 species
UCAGAUUGAACGCUGGCGGCAGGCCUAACACAUGCAAGUCGAGCGGUAACAGAAAGUAGCUUGCUACUUUGCUGACGAGCGGCGGACGGGUGAGUAAUGCCUAGGGAUCUGCCCAGUCGAGGGGGAUAACAGUUGGAAACGACUGCUAAUACCGCAUACGCCCUACGGGGGAAAGGAGGGGACCUUCGGGCCUUUCGCGAUUGGAUGAACCUAGGUGGGAUUAGCUAGUUGGUAAGGUAAUGGCUUACCAAGGCGACGAUCCCUAGCUGUUCUGAGAGGAUGAUCAGCCACACUGGGACUGAGACACGGCCCAGACUCCUACGGGAGGCAGCAGUGGGGAAUAUUGCACAAUGGGGGAAACCCUGAUGCAGCCAUGCCGCGUGUGUGAAGAAGGCCUUCGGGUUGUAAAGCACUUUGCAGUAGGGAGGAAAGGUAGCAGCUUAAUACGUUGUUACUGUGACGUUACC